CCUACGGGUGGCAGCAGUGGGGAAUAUUGGGCAAUGGGCGCAAGUCUGACCCAGCAACGCCGCGUGAAGGAAGAAGGCUUUCGGGUUGUAAACUUCUUUUGUCAGGGACGAAGCAAGUGACGGUACCUGACGAAUAAGCCACGGCUAACUACGUGCCAGCAGCCGCGGUAAUACGUAGGUGGCAAGCGUUAUCCGGAUUUAUUGGGUGUAAAGGGCGUGUAGGCGGGAAUGCAAGUCAGAUGUGAAAACUAUGGGCUCAACCCAUAGCCUGCAUUUGAAACUGUAUUUCUUGAGUGCUGGAGAGGCAAUCGGAAUGCCGUGGGUAGCGGUGAAAUGCGUAGAUAUACGGAGGAACACCAGUGGCGAAGGCGGAUUGCUGGACAGUAACUGACGCUGAGGCGCGAAAGCGUGGGGAGCAAACAGGAUUAGAUACCCGAGUAGUC
rnacentral:rRNA from 1 species